GACGAACGCUGGCGGCGUGCUUAACACAUGCAAGUCGAACGGAAAGGCCCUGCUUUUGUGGGUUGCUCGAGUGGCGCACGGGUGUGUAACACGUGAGUAACCUGCCCUUGACUUUGGGAUAACUUCAGGAAACUGGGGCUCAUACCGGAUAGGAGCUCCUGCUGCAUGGUGGGGGUUGGUAAGUUUCGGCGGUUGGGGAUGGACUCGCGGCUUAUCAGCUUGUUGGUGGGGUAGUUGCUUACCAAGGCUUUGACGGGUAGCCGGCCUGAGAGGGUUACCGGCCACAUGGGGACUGAGAGACGGCCCAGAAUCCUACGGGAGGCAGCAGUGGGGAAUAUUGCACAACGGGCGGAAGCCUGAUGCAGCAACGCCGCGUGCGGGAUGACGGCCUUCGGGUGGUAAACAGCUUUCGCCUGUGACGAAGCGGGAGUGACGGUAAUGGGUAAAGAAGCACCGGCUAACUACGUG
rnacentral:rRNA from 1 species